UUAAUAAAAAUCGGCGUGUUGCUUUUUUGUGAUGCUCCGGAGUUUGGGUCAUCUUAUAAUAAUACCUUUCAAGUGUUUUUAAGAGGCUUAAAAUUGACAUCUUUUUUGCGCAUUUUUUGACGUACAUAAAUUUUUUUAUUCGUUUAUUCUAAUGCCCAAAAUCUAUUAGAUGCGACCAUAUCGUGUGGUUCCGUGUCUAUAAAUUUUUUCAUG
rnacentral:misc_RNA from 1 species